rnacentral:rRNA from 1 species
UGGGGAAUAUUGCACAAUGGGCGCAAGCCUGAUGCAGCCAUGCCGCGUGUGUGAAGAAGGCCUUCGGGUUGUAAAGCACUUUCAGCGAGGAGGAAGGGUUCAGUGUUAAUAGCACUGUUCAUUGACGUUACUCGCAGAAGAAGCACCGGCUAACUCCGUGCCAGCAGCCGCGGUAAUACGGAGGGUGCAAGCGUUAAUCGGAAUUACUGGGCGUAAAGCGCACGCAGGCGGUUUGUUAAGUCAGAUGUGAAAUCCCCGCGCUUAACGUGGGA